rnacentral:rRNA from 1 species
UACGUAGGGUGCAAGCGUUGUCCGGAAUCAUUGGGCGUAAAGAGCGCGUAGGCGGUCCGGUAAGUCCGCUGUGAAAGUCAAGGGCUCAACCCUUGAAUGCCGGUGGAUACUGUCGGGCUAGAGUCCGGAAGAGGCGAGUGGAAUUCCUGGUGUAGCGGUGAAAUGCGCAGAUAUCAGGAGGAACACCAAUGGCGAAGGCAGCUCGCUGGGACGGUACUGACGCUGAGGCGCGAAAGCGUGGGGGAGCAAACAGG